rnacentral:rRNA from 1 species
UACGGGGGGAGCAAGCGUUGUUCGGAUUUACUGGGCGUAAAGGGCGCGUAGGCGGUCACCUCAAUUCAGUUGUGAAAUCUCUGGGCUUAACCCAGAACGGUCAGCUGAUACUGCGGGGCUAGAGUGCAGAAGGGGCAACUGGAAUUCUCGGUGUAGCGGUGAAAUGCGUAGAUAUCGAGAGGAACACCUGCGGCGAAGGCGGGUUGCUGGGCUGACACUGACGCUGACAGCGCGAAAGCUAGGGGAGCGAACGGG